AGGCGAUGAGUCUUCUGGGUUUUUCUCUCAGUGUUUUAGGCGAUGAGUCGAAUGGAUUCAAGUACUAUAAUAAUCAGUAAAUUAUCCGAAAAACGGGUGAGUCACUUUUUUACAAUAACUUCUAUAAUAACUUUAGCUAUAUGAUUAUUAAUUUUGUUAUUCAUUCAUACACUGACGAAGUAUUGUUUAAAUUCAGGGUUUUGUUCUCUGGUCCAACUGAUGAUCAAAUUGGGUUUCACUGGAUUUGUUUUUGUGAAUUUACCGAGGUUUUUCAUUUAAUGGUUCUUUCUGCAAUUCUGACCGUUGUCUCCUGGUUUUUUCAUCAAGUAGAACUAGACAAGGAUUUUGAAGAUGGAUUCAAGUGCUGUUCUAGAGUAACAGAGAAUUAAGUUAAUAAUAAGAUACUUAACAAAAAUCAGAUCAGUCACAUUUUCACGAUAAUUUCUCUAAUUUCUUUGAGUAUAUGAUGAUAAAUGGGGUUUCAACGGAUUCUGUUUUUGUGAAUUCUCUGGGUGUUUUUAUUGAAUCUCUAAGUUUUCGGAUUCAACAAUUAUGUUCUCUCUUGUUUCUAUAAUUUCUUUAUCUUUACAAUAGUGUUCUUUGUUGGUUCAUUGGGAUGAAUCUUGUAAGUUAUUUUCUGGAUUGAAUUGAUGAUCAAUUUUGGGUUUCAGAAUAAUUAUUUCUGUGAAAUCUCUGUGGGUUUUUGCUGGAUCUUUUAUGGUUUGUUUUUGGUGUUUCAUUUUUAUUCAAUG
rnacentral:lncRNA from 1 species